rnacentral:rRNA from 1 species
UACGUAGGUGGCAAGCGUUAUCCGGAAUUAUUGGGCGUAAAGCGCGCGCAGGCGGUUUCUUAAGUCUGAUGUGAAAGCCCACGGCUCAACCGUGGAGGGUCAUUGGAAACUGGGGAACUUGAGUGCAGAAGAGAAAAGCGGAAUUCCACGUGUAGCGGUGAAAUGCGUAGAGAUCGGGAGGAACACCGGCGGCGAAGGCGGCUGCCUGGACCAGUCCUGACGCUGAGGCGCGAAAGCUAGGGGAGCAAACAGG